rnacentral:rRNA from 1 species
GAUGAACGCUGGCGGCGUGCCUAAUACAUGCAAGCCGAGCGAACAGACGAGGAGCUUGCUCCUCUGACGUUAGCGGCGGACGGGUGAGUAACACGUGGAUAACCUACCUAUAAGACUGGGAUAACUUCGGGAAACCGGAGCUAAUACCGGAUAAUAUAUUGAACCGCAUGGUUCAAUAGUGAAAGACGGUUUUGCUGUCACUUAUAGAUGGAUCCGCGCCGCAUUAGCUAGUUGGUAAGGUAACGGCUUACCAAGGCGACGAUGCGUAGCCGACCUGAGAGGGUGAUCGGCCACACUGGAACUGAGACACGGUCCAGACUCCUACGGGAGGCAGCAGUAGGGAAUCUUCCGCAAUGGGCGAAAGCCUGACGGAGCAACGCCGCGUGAGUGAUGAAGGUCCUCGGAUCGUAAAACUCUGUUAUUAGGGAAGAACAAAUGUGUAAGUAACUAUGCACGUCUUGACGGUACCUAAUCAGAAAGCCACGGCUAACUACGUG